CAUGUCUUUUUGAUAAUAAUUUAAGGUUUAAUCUGCUCAGUGAUUAUUGAUUAAAUUGCCGCGGUAAUUUGACUGUGCGAAGGUAGCGUGAUAAUUAGCUUAUUUAUUGUGGGCUUGUAUGAAUGAUUGGACAAGAAAUUUUCUGUCUCUUAUUAAUUUUUAUUUAAUUUUAUUUUUGAGUGAGAAAGCUUAAAUUUUUUUUAGGGACGAGAAGACCCUAUAGAGUUUAAUUUUUGGGUAAUUUUCACUUUUUGGCUUAUUUUUUGUGAUUGUUAUUAUUAAAUUUGGUUGGGGUGACUGGAAGAUUAAUUAAACUCUUUUUUAUUUAAUCAUUGAUUUUUGAUUUAUUAAUUUAUUUUUUUAAUUAUAAAUUUAAUUACCUUAGGGAUAACAGCGUGAUUUUUCUUUAAAGUUCAUAUUUAGGGAGAGUUUUGCGACCUCGAUGUUGGAUUAAAAUUAUUUUAAGGUGUAGUUGCUUUAAAUUGUAAGUCUGUUCGACUUUUAAUUUUUUACGUGAUCUGAGU
rnacentral:rRNA from 1 species